UCGGCUGGUCAAGAUGCAUAGGCAUGGCUAUAAUUGGAACACCAAACUUGAUGCUCUCCAACACUGAGUUCCAUCCGCAGUGACUCACAAACCCCCCAACACUAGAAUGCUGCAGUAUCUUUGCCUGUGGGGCCCAACCCUCCAUUAUCACUCCCUUCUCUCCCACCCUCUGUAAAAACCCUUCUGGUAACACCUCUUCAACCCUAGUAUUUUUCUCCUCCUUAGAAAAUCUUAUAACCCAAAUGAAGCUCACUUUGCUAAGCUCUAAUCCGUGAGCUAUCUCUUCUAUUUGCUCCUUGGACAGAAAGUACUCACUGCCAAAGCAUACAUACACUACAGAAGACCUUUCCAUUUUGUUCAGCCAUUUCAUGAUCCAUGUUUCCUCAUCAACUUUUUGAUCCACUGGCUCUUGAACAAGCGUGCCAACAGGCACGAUCUUUUUCCCCAUUAAAUCAGAGAGAUAAUCAAUAUAUUUUUCUUCAAUCCCCCUGGAUGUCUUUACCAAAAUGAUGUUACAAGAUCGAGCACUGCAUUGCUGAACACGGUCUCCAUCUUUGAUGCCAUUUGCUGAAGAUUCCAACACGUUGUUGAACUUUUCAGCUUCGUAAUCUUGAAGAUAAAUCGAAGGAAAAGGAAACUUGACACUAGGGUUCUUGAGAUGUUGAAUACUAAAUGAAGUAAAGGCAGCACCCAUGGUGAUGAAUUCGAUGGAUGGAAAAUUUUGCAAUGAAGCUAGAGAGGGCGCCCAUGGUUGAAGAAAAUCAUAUAUGAGCAAAUCUGGGCUUAGGGUUUUGAGGAUGUUGGAGAAGUUGUUGCUGGACAUAUCAAAGGCCCUUUUGAGAGUGGACAUGAGAUGGGGAGGGAGGCCAUUGGUGGUAUGGUAGUGAGGUGGGAGUUCAGGCAAGUCAUCAUGUGGAAGAUGGAGUUCCACAAAUUCAAUGCAAUGAGAAUAUUUUUGGGAGAGUUUAGGCUUGAUGGAGCUGAGAUUUACAGGCGUGGAACAAAUAAAGAUGUGAAAAUUUCUCUUGGUGGUCAGCUUCUUGGCUAGCUCUAGGUAGGGAGAUAUAUGGCCGUGAGCUAGCCAUGGAAGCAUAAGAAUAGUAAGUUUUCUUUGGUCAGAGUAAACCAUAUUUUGUUUUCCUUUCACUCUUUUGCUUGAGGUUGCUCGAUUAUAGGCUUAUUGGUAGUUUUUUUGUAGCUAGCUCUAUGCAUAUAUAUAUAUAUAUACACACACAUUCAUGGGAAAAGAGGCUUGGGGAUGGGAAAUCAAUUGAUUUCCUAUGUUUGGUAAAGUUCGGGUAUGAGAAAUCGUUGCUUUGCACAUGAGAAAGUAGAGGGGAAAGUGAAGCCCUCCUCCUUCCUUAGGUUUUGUUUUCCUCCUCAUGGGAAAGUUUGGGAAAAUGAGCUAAUAUUAAAUACAUAUUUUUCAUGACCAUAUUAUCCCCAUUAAUAAUUUAGAAUUACAUAAAUGCAUUCUAUUUUUAUUUGAUUUCAUAUGGGUAUAAUUGAAAAAUUAAACAAAUUUUGUUUUACAUUCCUACACAAACCAAACAUGUGAAAGGAAAUAAAGUGGUAUUUCUUGGUUACUUUCCCAAGAUUACCAAACAUAGGAAAGGAAUCUCUAUUUCCCAUCCCUUAGAAAAUGACUUGGAAAGUAAUUUCUCCUCAAAUUCGUUCCGUGAACCAAACGGAACCUGCAUAAUAGAAGUUCCAAAAAAACACGUGAUGAUUGGAUCAUGCAUAUGUAAGUUCCCGAGUGAUGAUUGGAACAAGUUCCUAAUGAUAAAGACUCGAAACAAGAAUAGUUUAAACUUUCUUCUUUGUUUGGCUUGAUAUAAGACGAAUGCACCAAACAAACCGACUAAUUGCUGGCACAAUAUAAAUUGGGGCUACAAUUACCUAAUAAUUAGGUACUAAGGGCUACAAUUACCUAAUAAUAUCAACUUUCAUUAUACAGAUUUGAGAAACAAAAAGUUCAACUUUGAUGACAAGCGAUAUUAAAGGAGGGCGUAAUCAAACUUAGGAUCUUGAGUGUAGAAAUAAAUACUUUUAACAACUUGAGCUACAAGCCUUUUGUAAUAUUAAUGAUAUUUUAAUUAUACGUUUGAAUAGUUCGCUUCCUUCUCUUUUAUUUUCAUUUGUUUAUAUUUAACUCUAAUUUUAUUUAUAUUUUUGGUCAAGGUAAAAAGACUUUGAAUCUCUCUCCAAUGAUUUUCACAGCCGAAACUCCUUUAGUUUCCACAAAUAUUUUUUAAUAUUUCAUGCAUUUGUAAGUUUCCGACUCGGAUGGUUCAUGUAACCAAGAAGUUUAAACUUGUUUUUGCUUGUUCCGCCGACGAAAGCGCAACAAAAGGACAAACUACAACCAAUACUUCUAGUAUCACCAGUUCUCAUUGAAUUUGUUGCCGUGAAUGUUUAGGAUUCUGCCCAAACUAGUAUUUGCGUUUCUGAAUUGUUUGAAAACACAUAUGAAAUUAUGAUUUCUCCUCCCCAGAAGACAAAUUGACGAAGAAGUAUCAUGAUUUUGAUGACACAAAUUAGAAUCCAGGGUUUUCGAAGUGCCUAAUGGACAACUAUUAAUUUAGAAAUAUAUAUAUUUUUUUCGCAAUGCAGAAACACAUAAAUCCCAAGUUUGAAUUCAUCCUAUUUUUGUUUUUGUUUUUUCCUUUUUUAACCCAGAAGAAAAAUUGAGUGCCACUCUGCUAUGUAGAAUGCAAGUUUUAGUUUAGAUUUUUUUUUCUUUUUAGUCUCUUAUUCUACAUUUAGAUCUCAUAUAUUUACUCGCAUUUUAUUAAAUCUAAGUCAUUCAAACAAUCUGACCACUUAACAAAUUACAAGUACUCAAACUUAAAAUCAGAUUGGAUGGACAUGAGGCUUACACUGAUGAUUCUACACGUGCUGAGAAUAGUCCUUUUAUUUCUUUAUUAUUUUCUUGGUCGGGACUCGAGAGACAGGUGUAGUGUAGCGAUGGAGACGAGGCCCGCAAGACAUAAAAGUCUGAAGAAGAGAAGCGUGAAAGCUUCAUUUAGACAGUUAAGUGCAUACGUAACGUAAAGAUUCAAAGACUAUGUCCCUCUCCAAACAGGGAAAGAUCUGAGUUGAAAGCAACAAACUACAGUCACAAUAGGAAAGCAUCUACAACGUAAAGAAAAUAAGUUUACCAGAAGCAUCGGAAAGAUCUAGAGUCUGAAGAAGAGAUACUGAAGUAAUUGUUCAUCGACUGAGCUUAAAUGAAAUAUUAACUCUUUGUUGUGCCAUAAGCACAAGAUCUUAAGAAAAAAAUUCAAGAUAAACCAUAUAAUAUUUUCUAACCCACAAAAUAAUAUAGAAAAUAAAUGCAAGAACAAGAGAAUAGCAAGACACAACGAGGCUGCUUACAAUCAGUGUAAAUGAGCAAACAAAUUCACCAUCAACAAAUUAGCAUGCUUAUGAAGUGUUUUGCAACCUCACAAACCAAGGCGCCAUAUACACCAAAUGACUCUCACUGAAAAACUAAACAAAGAAACACACUCACACUAAUGAAAGCAACGUUACAAGGUAGGAGAUUGAAUAUUACAUUUACAAUACACUCAUAAGUUACAAAAACUAAUUACAAAUAUUUAGCGCAUAGGUUACAUAGAACUGAAAGGGUGGAAUGAUAAGAGCUAUGGUGGUCAUCCACCAACUCAUGCAUUUACAACACCGCCUCUUGAAUGUCCACCAUACAAUACAAUGAUAUAGUUGCGUCAUUAAACACUUUGCUUGAAAAACUAUAUGGGACAAAACUUAGGCUACGGGAAAAAGAGUGCAACACAAAUAAUAUUGAUAUCACAUUUGUCUCUCCUACGGAAUGAGCUUUGGUGAUGUUUGUAUAAAAAUUGCGUACAAACCAUUAUUGGAAGAUUGGGCUAGAGUGGGCUUUACCCUAGUGUUGACUUUGGAAAGAGACAAAUUAGGCUUAGUUGUGUAAAUUCAAUCCAAAAAAAAAUUAAAUAAUAGCCCACAUCUACAGCCAAAUACUUUAAUACUUUAAUUACUAAAGUUUUUUUUUCUUUCUCUCUCUUCUUUGGUUUAUUCAGCUUUUGAUUUGGCUCAAAUAAUGUUUAUAUCUCUCUUUGAUUUUGUUUUUUCAAAUUUAUUGAUGUUGCUUCUUUUGAAAAUUUUGAAAUAUGGACCCUCCCUAACUAAACCACUCCAUUGAGCAAAAGCCCUUGAGCUUCAAAUUUAUCUUCGUCUGAGCCUCUGAAUUUUGGUUUUUUUUAGGUUUUUUUUGUUUGUUGUAGGUUUCUUUGUUCACAUAUCUCUCUAAAAAUAGUAUUUUUCUUAAUGAAUUCUGAAAAUAGUUUUUAAUUUGAAGGAAAUAUACGGAAUUAGUAAAAAAGUAUACCACUUUCAUUAAUCUGAAGGAAAUAUUGCUUUAUAUAUAUUUGUUUAAAAAUAGGGCUUAUAAUUGAUCUCAAAAAAAAAAAAAAAACAAAUAGCCCACCCCUGUAAAUAUUCCUUAGUCCGCCAUUGCAUGGCAUAAUAUUUGGUAUGCUAUGCUAGCAUCUCAUAAGCUCUUCAAGAGACCUGAAUUUUAUGAUAACUUCUUAAAAAAUUUGAAUACAUUUCAACGAUAUUAAACUUGAAUUUGAACUCAUAAUUCAAUCAAAGUACUCAUUGAGGCAAUUUAGAUCAUUUUCAUUUUAAAAAAAUUGGGUGCACACAUUGAGCUUCAUGCUCUUUACCUUCUUAGAGAUUUUAUUUGAGGAAUUUAUAUUGCAUCACAUAUUACAUCUCUUAGGAUUUGUUCUUAUUAUGUAUUCUUUAAGAGAUCUAUUCUUGCAAUAUGCUUCAAACACUUCAUAAUCUUUAUGAAUUUUUCAUGUAGAUUUAAGGUCUCCAUGAAUAUUGAGAUUGAAACAAGGAGUAAAAGAGUUAAAAGUUUAAGAAAUUUUUUCCCUGAUUAUUUUGUAAUUAUAAUGUUGGUGAAAAUCCAAUUUCCUUUCUAGAAUUUGUGAAAUUUGUUAUUUGGCUAAGCUAAAAGUAUAAUUUUGACAAUAAAAAGCAUAUGAAAGUUUCUCUUUGGUUGGCUUCUUGGCUAGCUCUAGGAACGGACAGUGUGGCCAUGAGAUAACCAUGGAAGUAUAAUAAGAAUGCUUGGAUGCUGUGAACAAUCCAUUUUCUGACUCUUUUUCUUGAGGUGGUUGUUUUCUUAUGGCCCAUCAGAGUUUAUGGUCGACAGAUAAGCUUCAAACACAUGCAUUGGUCGUGUCAGUUGCGAUAAACUCUUCCCAACAAUCAACAAUUUCUAAGGUAAUAUCAUCAUUCAAUCAUGUGCUGAAUUUAGAAUUGUUUUCAAAUCAAGGAUUUGUUUUGGAACUCAGAUUUUAAAACAAUUAAAAUUUAAUUGGGAAGACUUUUUGUUUAAAGGAAGUUCGUUUCAAUUCAAAAAAUAAUUUUUCAGUUUUUCAACUCAAAAGUCUUCUCAGUUUUCUUAUUUUUCUUAUUGGCGAGUUUCUUGGUUAACUCUAGGAAGGGAGAUAUGUGGCCAUGAGCUAACCAUGGAAGCAUAAGAACGCUGACCAUGCUUGGAUUUUGAGAAGACUUCCUCUUUUUUUUUUCCCUGACUCUUCUUCUUGAGGCGGUGGUUGGCUUAUGGCCUCAUAAUAGUUUGGUGUUUUUGGAGAUCAUAUGGUGAUGAUCUGAUGGAGAUGAGUCAUAGUUUGUGCUAGUGCAUACGUAAUUCCAAUUUCCUGAUUCAGAUGGGAUAAACUCUUCCAACAAAUUAAGACUCUUAUCAUGCAUACACAUAAGAAGUGGAAAUUUGCUUCUGUCUUAGUUUGGCCUUGAUAUAGGACAGCUCAUAGGAAAGCAUCCAAAACAAUAUUCUUUUUAUUUUUUUUAUUUGAAUACAAGCGAUAUUAGGAGUGUGGGGAUUUGAACACAUGAUUUAGGGUACAGGGUAAUGCUCUUAACUAUAUGAGUUACAAGUCCCUUGCAAACAGUCUGAAAUACUAAAAAUAAAAAAUAGAUGCUCAUCCAUAUGCACUGUCAUGCCCCAACCCUUGGAUUUACAAAACCUUGUGUUAAGACGUGAUUCACACCUUAAUUAUAGAAUUUAAUAAAAACUAUAACUAAAAUGUGAAGAAAACAUUUAAAUAAAUAAAAUAAAUAUUUCACAUAGAAUAUUCAGUGGAAAUGACAACAUGUGAAAUCUUAAAAAUUUUACAUUAUCUUACAAGUUGGCGUGACUUGUGGAUAUUGACUUACUUUCCUUACACACCAAGAAUUCCUAUUAUAAUUGUAAUUGAUUUACUUUAAUUCAUGAUUUCCUACUGUAAAUAGAUUUAAGAAUUUAUUAUUUACUUGCCCAUUCAGGUUUCGUUGUAUUAUAAAUAUGACCUCCUACAAGGAGAAGAACAUACAGAAAAUUCCCACAAACAAAUAUUCUCUCAUAGUUUUCAUAUUUUAGCAUGGUAUCAGAGCGGCAAUCUUGGAAUUGCUGACUCUAGUUUCAAACCCCCGCCGCCGCUAUGGGGGUUGAUGAUUUUUUCAACCAUCAUGGAGGUAGCACCAUCGACUCCUUCUCUCAUUCUCAACUAACCAUCGUUGAGUUGAGUGCCCAGAUGGCUCCGCUCCUACAGAUGCAGACUUUGACCCCAAACCCGAUCCAGAAUCAGGAUCUUCUUUCGACAACCACGACCCCGAUCUCGACUAUGACAACGACGACCCCGACCCCUACUCUGAAGAUGACCCCGACCCCCACUCCGAUGACCCCAACCCCGAAUUUGUCUCUGAUUCAGAACCCGAUCCCGAUUUCGACUCCGACUCCGGCCUCGACUCAGGCUCAGAUUUCGAUCCAAAUUCCUACUCAACUUAUAUCCUAUGCAUCUUCCGCUGCACAGAUUAUGACUUCUAGACUAACGACCCCGACAUAUGGACCAGAUUGCACAUAUUGUGGUGAUCCGAGACACACUUGUGAGACUUGUUUUAAAUCGCAUGGCUACCCCGAUUGGUGGGCUAUUCUUACAGAUCAAGGACAAUGCACCAGUAAUGGUACUGGUUAUGGAUUCCAUACUUCCGAUAAGAUUGAUUCCAGGAGCUGGAUAAUUGAUUCUGGUGCAACUGAUCAUAUGACGUUUGAUCCUGAUGAUUUUCUGAAUACUACACAACCUCGACGAACUUGUAUUGCAAAUGCCAAUGGUGUUACUUAUCCUGUGACAGGGGCUGGCACUGUUGCACUCUCAUCCUCUCUCACACUGUCUAAUACUUUACUUGUUCCAUUUUUAUCCACUAAAUUGUUGUUAGUUAGUCAGCUUACUAAACAAUUGAAGUGUUGUGUACUCAUUUACCUGAGUUUUUGUUUGCUUCAGGAUAUUCACACUAAGGAGAUUCUUGGUCGUGGUACUAAGAGAGGGGGGCUAUAUUAUGUCGAUGACUUCAGUUCCGGCGUGCCUAACAGUGUGACACAUCCCUUUGAUAGCAAACAAAAGCAAAUUUGGUUGUGGCACCUUCGAUUGGGACAUCCGUCUUUCAGUUAUAUGAAGCAUCUUAUACCAGAUUUAUUCUUAGGUUUCAAGGACUCCGACUUCACAUGUGAUACUUGUAUUUUGGCUAACAGUCACCGUGUGCCCUACCUGUUGAGUACGAACAAGUGUACUUGUAAGAUCCCACAUCAACCAACGGAGAGGGGGUGAUGUGCCUUAUAUAUGCACACCUGCAUCCAUCUAGCACGAGGCCUUUUGGGAGCUCACUGGCUUCGGAGUCGUAGGAACUCCGAAGUUAAGCGAGUUGGGGGCUAGAGCAAUCCCAGGAUGGGUGAUCCACUGGGAAGUUGCUCGUGAGCUCCUAGAAACAAAACCGUGAGGGCAGAGAGAGGGGCCCAAAGCGGACAAUAUCGUGCUACGGCGGAGUUGAUCCCGAGAUGUGACAAUUUGGUAUCAGAGCCACUCUGCCGUGUGGUGCGAAUGUGCCGACGAGGACUUCGGGCCCUUAAGGGGGGUGGAUUGUAAGAUCCCACAUCAACCAACGGAGAGGGGGUGAUGUGCCUUAUAUAUGCACACCUGCAUCCAUCUAGCAUGAGACCUUUUGGGAGCUCACUGGCUUCGGAGUUGUAGGAACUCCGACGUUAAGCGAGUUGGGGGCUAGAGCAAUCCCAGGAUGGGUGACCCACUGGGAAGUUGCUCGUGAGUUCCCAGAAACAAAACCGUGAGGGCCAGAGAGGGGGGCCCAAAGCUGAUAAUAUCGUGCUACGGCGGAGCCGAUCCCGGGAUGUGACAAUUGUACUACUCCAUUUACGUUAAUUCACUCUGAUGUCUUGGGACCUUCGCCUAUCACUGCUCCUUCUGGUGUUCGAUGGUUUGUCACAUUCAUCGAUGAUUGUAUACAGAUGACAUGGCUUUAUUUGCUGAAGAAUAAAAACGAAGUGUUUUCCCGUUUUCAGUCCUUCCACAAACAGAUGAAAACUCAGUUUAAUGCUCAAAUCCAGAUUCUUCGCUCAGACAAUGGUGGAGAAUUUGUCAAUCAUGACUUUCAGACUUACUUCCAACAACAUGGAAUUAUCCAUGAGACGACUUGUCCUCAGACACCACAACAAAAUUGUGUUGUUGAACGAAAGAAUUGACAUCUUCUUGAAACCGCCCAAGCACUUCUGAUUGGCGCUCAUGUUCCUCGCUAUCACUGGGAUGAUGCUAUUGUCACCGCAGUUCACCUGAUCAACCGCAUGCCUUCUGGUGUAUUGACCUUUAAAACUCCCUUACAGGUGCUUGCGCAACACAGACCUCUGCUCUCUGUUUUGGUACUCACACCCCGAAUCUUUGGAUGUGUGGCUUUCGUUCAUCUCCACAAAAAUCAACGUAGCAAACUUGAUCCCUGUGCGCUUCGUUGUGUUUUUAUAGGUUAUGCCACUCAUCAGAAAGGCUACCGUUGUUAUCACCCUCCUACCCAACGAACCUAUGUCACUUUGGAUGUGACCUUUCUGGAAUCUGAGUUGUUCUUCCAUGACCCAUCAUCCAAUUCUACGCAUCAGGGGGGGAUACGAAGUGAAGAGCAGAAUUGAAGCAACUUGGGAAAUAAAGAAAUUUUCCUCUGUACAGAAAUGAUUAAUCAUCCUGAGUCUGGAGCACGAGAUUACUCUCUGUCGAAAAGCAACCAAUCGCCCAUUCAUAGCGAUCAAUUGCCUCACCUACCUGAUCCAUGUGAAGAUAUUUUUGAUCCGAGUCUCACACCUACAGACAAUACAGAACAACAAGAUGAAGACUCCCCCUCUAACUCAACAGUACCAACAGACCAAUCUCCUGAGAAUAUCCUUGAGGUAACUACUCCUACUAGAUUUGUGCAUUUAAAUGAUUAAACUAUUGGAUAUCAAUUACCUUUCAGGGAAAAUCGUGGGAAGCCAUCAAACCGUUAUGCACCUGAUAUUGGCAAGACAUCCAAGUAUCCAAUUGCAAAUCAUGUAUCCACUGAGAAGCUGUCUGAACAACUCAAGGCUUUUGUGCAUCAGUUGUCUGCGAUCCAUAUUCCAACCAAGGUCUCUGAAGCAUUAAAAUAUCCUAAGUGGGUCCAAGCUAUAAAAGAGGAGAUGAAAGCUCUUGAGAAAAAUCAGACUUGGACAUUAGAGACUAUACCUCGAGGAAAAAAGACUAUCAGAUGUAGAUGGGUGUUUACUAUAAAACACAAUGUAGAUGGAUCUAUCGAGCAAUACAAGGCAAGACUUGUGGAAAAAGGGUACACACAGACAUAUGGUAUAGACUAUGAAGAAACCUUUGCUCCAGUUGCAAAGUCAAACACCAUCAGAGUCUUAUUGUCCCUUGCAGCUAAUUUGGAUUGGCCACUACACCAGUUUGAUGUAAAGAAUGCUUUUCUACAUGGCGUACUCACGGAGGAGGUGUACAUUUACAUUCCUCCUGGAUAUAAUACUACUUAGACUGGAACAGUUUGCAGGUUACGAAAAGCAUUGUAUGGAUUGAAACAGUCACCACGUGCAUGGUUUGGACAGUUCACCAUGGCAAUGAAGAACAAUGGUUCAAACAGUGCAACUCAGAUCAUACUCUACUCUUGAAACAUCGAAAAGGGAAGGUAACAACAUUAAUAAUCUAUGUUGAUGAUAUGAUUAUUACUGGGAAUGAUAAACAGGAAAUAUCACAGCUACAAGACUAUCUGGCUACGGAGUUUGAGAUGAUGGAUCUAGGUGGACUCAAGUAUUUCUUGGGAAUUGAGGUGGCUCGAUCCCAGCAAGGCAUAUUUCUCUCUCAAAGGAAAUAUGUCUUGGACUUGUUGACAGACACAUGAAUGCUAGAUUGUAAACCUGCGAACACUCAUAUUGUUCAGAAUCAUCAUCUUGGAGAAUAUCAUGAUCAAGUUCCAACUAACAAAGAAAGAUACCAAAGGUUAGUAGGAAGAUUGAUCUAUUUGUCACAUACUUGACCAAACAUUACUUAUGCAAUGAGCGUUGUCAGUCAAUUUAUGCACUCUCCAAGUGAAGACCACACGAAUGCAGUUCUUCGGAUACUUAGAUAUUUGAAGUCUGCACCUGAAAAAGGACUUAUUUUCUGAAAGCAUGGUCAUAUAAAUAUUGAUGGUUAUUCAGAUGUAAUGUAACAGAUAGAAAAUCCACAUCCGGUUACUUAACAUUCAUGGGAGGUAAUUUGGUGACAUGGAGGAGCAAGAAACAGAAUGUAGUAGCUUUAUCCAGUGCAGAAGCCGAGUUCAGAGGCAUGACUAAAGGAAUUUGUGAACUUCUUUGGUUAAGAAAGUUGCUUACUGAACUUGGGUAUAAACCUACAUCCACAAUGAUUCUCUUUUGUGACAACAAGGCUGUUAUAGCCAUUGCACAGAAUCCGGUUCAGCAUGAUCGUACUAAACAUGUUGAGGAGGAUCGACACUUCAUCAAACAGAAGCUUGAGGCUAAAAUGUUUCAGUUUUCUUUUGUGAAAUCCGAGGAUCAAUUGGCGGAUAUUUUGACAAAGGUGAUUUCCAGUAAAACAUUCCACAAUUCACUGGAUCAGUUAGGCAUUGGCGAUAUCUAUGCACCAACGUGAGGGGAAGUGUUGGCGUGACUUGUGGAUAUUGACUUACUUUCCUUACACACCAAGAAUUCCUAUUAUAAUUGUAAUUGAUUUACUUUAAUUCCUGAUUUCCUAUUGUAAAUAGAUUUAGGAAUUUAUUAUUUACUUGCCCAUUCAGGUUUCGUUGUAUUAUAAAUAUGACCUCCUACAAGGAGAAUAACAUACAGAAAAUUCCCACAAACAAAUAUUCUCUUAUAGUUUUCAUAUUUUAGCAAGAACUACUCGAGAGUUUACUAAAAGAGUAGUUCAGUAUUCAUCCACAAGCUAUAUACACAAUACACUCUAUAGAUAUGCCAAAAUCAUCGCAAGCUCUAGAUUUUAGGUUCGAUACCUGCAAAAUCUAUUAGAAGGGUGAGUGAAACCACAGUUUAGUAGGGACAUAAACCUUUUCACGGUAAACUGAUAUAAUUAAAUUAAGUGAAAAAUAAUCACACAGCCAAAUAUCACAUUAUUAAUAACAAUGCAUGAAUGCUCUUCAUUUAACCCGUUAAUUCAUAUAAUUAGACAAGCUUCACGACCCAUACCAUGCUUAUACCACUUAGUCCCGAAUGCCAAUUUAUAUGAAUUAACGCCCAUUUCAAUCAUCCCAUAAUUCCCAUUUUGUUAGUCAUCUUGUCUAACUCCCUGUUGCCAGUCCUGAAUCACCAAAAAAAAAAAACCAUGUGCACUAUGGGAUCCCUGAGUACUAGUACCUGGCAAGAGUUAGACUCAACUACACAAAAGAUCAUUUCUAUUACCCUCUUAUCCACCAUUAUUUUCUCAACUUCAGAAUUCUAGCCAAAUUCCAUGACAUGAUAUAAUUAAAAUUAUGCCUUCACAACAAUGUGCCCAUUUAAAACAUCACUAAUGCACAUAUAAUUAUGCCCACAUUGUUCAAAUAGUUAAGAGUACGUAAAUACCCAAUACAUGGAACGUCAAUCAAACAGUACCACGCAUAAUAUAAUGCUCAAGAAAUUUAAUUAAAUCAAUCUCUGUAAAAGGCCCCUAAGAAACCCCUGCCUUGAUACUAAAGCUUUUGCUAGACCUAUAAGGUGUUUUCCAAUUUUCCACCGCAUUCACAAACUCUGUCUUCUACUUUUUUUCUUACUUCUCUCUACCACUAUUUCUUUCUCGUUUUCUUUGUUUUCACUUGUUGUGCAACUUAAUGUCCUAUAUAUAUACAAGGAACAAGUCGGCAGUAAGUGAUUUCCUAUUGGAUGGUGUAUUCGGUUGUUAUAAACUUACUAGUAAUAGUUAUCAAUGUAGUUGCAGAUGAGGAAGAAUGUUUUUGUGACUCUUCCAAUCCCUCUAAUCCUAUUUCUUAUCUUCUUGGUGAGUUGAUAGCCUCGAUACUUAACAGAUUUUAUACUUUGACACGUAUUAACAAGAACUAUUUUAAAAACAUAUACAUAUAUAUAUAUAUAAUAGAAUAUGUAUAUAUGUAAUACACAUAUUUAUAUAUAAUAAGAAUAAUAUAUAUGUAAUAAGAUAUAAAUAUUUAUUAGAACAGUAUAUAAAAUAAUAUAUAUCAUUCUUAUUAUAACAAUAAUUUUAAUUUUCCCAAAAUAAUAUAUAUUUAAAAAUAUGUGGUUUCACAUGCAUGUCCUUUUUGCUAUAGACACUAUUACAAAAAUCGAAAUAGACAACGGAAAACUACCGUCGUCUGGAAAGUUUUCAAACAGUCGUGAAAUCGACUGUCGUCUCUUUUACAUAAAACAACGACGGCUAUUAACCAACGUCGUUAAUACAUUCCACGUAAAAAACUAUUAUAAACCGACGUGUAAUUACUAUAUAUAUAGCCUAAAAUAAAAUCUUCAACAACCUUAGACGACGGUUUUAUUAAAACUGACACGUCUAAAGAGUGUUACAUGUCAAGAUCAAAACAAGAACCGACGUACAGAUAAUUAUCCACGUCCUAAUUGAAGUAAAAUAGACUUGGAUAACCUAGAAACCGUCGUGGUUAACAUAUACUACGUUAAAUUAACAAAGGCACUUACGUCUAAAAAGUAAAAGACAACACGCGCACAAAGCAACAGACGUUUAAAGCUUAGUACAUGUCAAUAGCCGCUCAAUAACCGCAGUAAAAUGAAUUAACCACGUCCCACAUAUGGCAGAACUGUUGCUUAUGUGAUUAUCCACGUCGCGGAGUAGUAGAACAAAGACGUUGUAACCAUAUUCCACGUCUGUUUCUUGUGAGAAUUGUCGUUUAAAUUAUACAAAGAAGCCCCUUUGACAGAGUUAGACGUUGCUCUUGCUGUAGAACCGACUUCUAACAGGUUUAAAAUGACACAAUAUUACUUAAUACUGCCGUAACAAAUCAUAUCCACGACUGCUGUUGUCAAAGACUGACGUUACAAAAAAUAUUGAAGGUGUUGACAAAAAAGAACCGACAUGGAUUAUGCAUUCAACGUCGUGUGGUCUAAAAAUAAAGGACGUGGUUAAUUUUUUCUCUACGUCAAGUGGAUCCAAUUGCCUGAUGUUGUAAUUCUUUACCAUGUUGGUUUUUAAUACAUGAUGAUGUGGUUGUCCUUUUAAAAGUCGCUUGUUUUACCCUCCUUGACGUGUGUAUGAUAUGAGACGUCAAUUGUUUUAGACUAGCUGACGUGCAGAAAAUCUGUCACGACAAUUAAUGCAACUGAAUUGCCUCUAUUUCCCCCAGACGACGGUAGGUUUUAAGUGUGGAAGUAGUGUUUUACAAAAUCGUAAGUUGGAGUAAUCUACCAUCGUGUUAUUCGAGAAUAUACCACGAUCUUUGUUUUGUACUCGGUCGCUGAUGUUUAUACUACUUAAUAAACUGACAUGUUUUCAGUUUCAGACGGCGGCUUUUGUUUCUUUAUGGUCUUUUGCAUUUUUUUUCCAUGACAUUUUUGAAAGCCUAAUGUUGGUUUUAUUUUAGAAAUCGAUUUUUCCCCUUUUUUUACUGGACCGUCGUACUUUACACAUUUAAUCAAUUUUUUUCAAUUUUUGAUUCAUCGUGCCCAAAGCCUACAUAACGAAAAUGUGAUCAGAAUUAAAAUGAUGUACAAAGGUAUUAAUUAAUGUCAUACAAUUAACUGAAUAACUAAUGUCAUACACUACAACAAUCAAUCAAUCCAUAUAUCUUCACACCCAUCUUUAAUAUUUUCACUCCCAAACUCACCCACUAGGUCAUCAUAUGUGUCAACAUUUGGUAUCCCUCUAGUAAAUGUCUCACACUCAAUUCUAAUAUCACCUAGCACAUCAUCACCAAUAACAUUAUUAUAUUCUCUAUUAUGCAUUGAUAACACUACCGACCAACCACGAUGCAUUGGGUCGUCAGCAUAAAAUACUUGUUUUGGUCAUUCCUAUGUCCAAUUUUACUCAAAUCUACAAAGGUGAAUCCAAGUUCAUCGACAACAAGGCCCAAAGUGUUAUCUAUCCAAUCACACCUCAAGACAAGGAUUCUAAACUUUUGGUAGUCAAGGUCCCAAAUUUCUUGAAUAACACCAUAAAAACCCAUAUUGGAGACAAUAGAGUUUUUAUCCUUAGCACUAGCAACUUGCAUAGUAUGUGCAAGUAAAUAAACUCCACUAUUUUGGACAGUUCGCAUAUCAUCUUGUGCCUUGGUGUUAAAUUUAACACCAUUAAUAAGAUAGCUCCUAUAUGAUGGCAUUGCCAUGCUUGGACUAGCUGCUAGCCACCUCAAAUUUUAUGAUACGCCAUUAUGCUCUUCCCCAUUAAGUUCACUUUGAACUUGCAAAUUAAUCGUAUAUAUCCUAAUUCGAUCUAACAUAUAAAAAGGAAGAAAAUUAAAAGUUGAAUAUGUCAUUCAAUAACAUAUAUACUUGAAAGUGUAGCCAUUGAAUGAAAGUGCUAUUGUGCUUAUCUUGCAGCCACUUUGUUCUCUUUCUAAAUAUUGGAUAAGUGGUCUUGAUGUGGAUCAUAUGUUCCAUACAUUGACACGAAAAAAUCAAGCAUUACGGUCCCUUGUAUAUAAGAUAACAUAAGGAAUAAUAAUAUUUAAAAUGGCUCUAUAUGAAAAAUGGAACUCAUGCGUACUCGAUAUAAGGUAGGACUUCCUCAGUAUUCUCCAAGACAUAUAGAUGUGUCUGGUUCAAAAAACCCGAUCACCUAAGCUUACUGUGCAACCAGAUAAUGGCUUUGAAACUCCCAUCUUCUAGCUUGAAGGCACUCCAACUGUACUAACAUCAGAUAAAUGCUCGGUGCAAAACUCUACAACUUCUUCAGCUAUAUACCGCUCAAUAAUGCAACAUCCGGGACGAGUACGGUUCUGAACAAACCUAUUUAGCACUUUCAUAUGUCUUUCAAAUGGAUACAUCCAUCUAAAAUAUACUGGCCCAUGUAGACGAACUUCUCUGACAAGAUGUACUACUAGAUGAACCAUGAUAUCAAAGAAUGAAGGGGGAAAGUACUUCUCAAGCAAACGCAACGUAACUACUACAUCUUCUUCCAAAUUAUCUAGCUUGGAAACAUCUACUGUCUUUGCACAUAUAGCAUUGAAGAAGAAGCACAAUCGAGUUAUUGCAUACCUUGCAGGCUUCUCCAAACAGAACGAAUUGCCACAGGGAGCAAUUGUUGCAUCAAGGCAUGAAAAUUAUGAGAUUUAAGGCCAAGAAGUCUUGAAUAUUUUUAAGAUACAAGAUUUUUUUAUAUUUGAACAAUAACCUUCAGGGACUUUCAUACCAUAGAAAGAAUUGCAAACCGCUCUCUUAUCUGCUCUUGACAAAUUCUAGGGCCUUGGAGGCAAGCGAGUACGUCUUUCUCAAUACUCGGGUUGCAAAUCAUUUUUGACCCCCAUGUUCAAUAAAUCUAACCGAACAGCAAUCUCAUCUUUAUUUUUUCUAGGGAUCUCCAGCAAUGUACCAAUGAUACUAUCGCAAACAUUCUUCUCAAUAUGCAUAACAUCUUGGACAUGCCUCAUAGGAAGGUAUUUCAAAUACUCGAGAUCAAAGAAUUUUGAUUUCUUAUUCCAACAAACUCUGUCACCAUCAUUCUCAAAAACACUUCCCCCAUUUUUCGAGCCCCAUAUGUAAUUAAUAUCUUCAACCAUGUCCUAUUCAAGUUAAUGGUUCGGGAGGCGUGCCAUAUUCAAGUUUUCCAUUGAAAGCUGCACGCUACCUCCGACAUGGAUGAUUGAUUGGUAACCAUUUUUUAUGACCAAUGUAACAAAUUUUGGGGCCAUUUUCAACCUGUGACUAGGUGUAUCAUCGCCGCAUAUUGGACAAGCUUUAUAUCCUUUAACGACACUGUAACACCCCGACUCUAAAUUAAUCCCUUAUUUAAUUAUUUAAAGAAAAUUACAAAUUUACCCUUAAGAUAGGGGUAUUUUGGUCAUUUUCUUACCCGAAGAGAGUUUGGGGCAGUGACUAGUAUUUUUGGAUAGGUCGUACUGAGACGAGUUCAUAGACACGUAGUGGGCUCGAAUCGAAGUUGUAACGAGAGAGAUAUGGUCAAAAGAAACCCAAUUGCACAAUCAUAAUUAUUUCGAAAUGAGAUUUUUAUAAAAAUCAGAUUUUUUUUUCUCUCUCUCUCUCUCUCCUCGUCGGUCUCUCUCCCUCUCCUCGAAACUCCGGCCAUCGGCCACGGCUGUGGACGGGGCCGGUACCAAAAUGACCGAGGCGUUGUCCUCCUCUAAUCCCAGCUAGGUCCCGCCGUCAGCCGCCAUGGUUUCGCCGGAAAAUGGAGAAGAAGCGGCCGGCGUCGUCCGAAGUUCUCCGCCGUUGAUCUCCCUCUUCCGGUCACCGAUUCCGACGAGUGAGGUAUGGUUUCUCACCUACUUUUCAUGCUCUAGCUGCCUGCUGGGUAUGAUUGGAUUGAUUUUUAGCGUAGGCAAUUCGAUUUUCGCAUUGAAAUUCGGCUAAUUUUGGAAUCACGAUUCCGGCUAGUUCUGGUCAGUUUUUGGGGUAGAUCCAAGAACAAAAGUGGCUCCAAAUAGGGUGUUAUACCUAGGGUAGGAGUUUGGAGCCAUGGUUUUGAGAUUUUCCGGCGAUACGUAAUCGCUUUAGACACCCAACGCUGCCCGCACGUGUGGCAGUGCGUGGGCGAGGGUAGUGAAAUAGCACUAUGUCUCGAUGAGAUCCUUAGGUUGUCACGAGUGCGUAGGAUUUCGCGGAUCUCAAUUCGGACGUCGUUUGACUAUCGAACGGAUUUUCGUAUAUUGCGCGUCAUCCGGGUUCGAUAGGUUGGGACCGUUGGAUGGUCUCGAAUAAAAUAUAUGUUAAUCUAGGUAUUUCUAGGAUCAUGUAGGAAUUCACGGAUUAUAAAUCGGAGCCCCGGAUAUUCCGAAUAAAUAAUUUAAAGUUUAUGUUUUAUAAUAACCGUCACAUCGUGCGAUCGUGAGCGAUCCGACCGGCCGAUCUGGACCAAACUUACAGAACGAGUGUCCUAUACCUUGAAGAACCCAUAGGAAUUUUCAGAUCGAAAUUUGGAGGUCGUGGGCCCCGUGGGCCCAUUUGACUAGGGGUAGGGUAGUUUGACCCUUAGUUGACCGUGAGUCUCCCGGAGUAAUCUCACCUUUCCAGGGGGAUUAUCGGGUGCUAGACUGUUGUUGAGGUUUACACGAUAUUAGUAGUAAAUUAUAUAUUUAUAUACAUUUGUAAAGGUAAAAAAUAAGUCCAGAAUGUCAGUUUGAAGUGCUUUACGCACUACCUUAGGUACCUCCCCGGAUUUUAGUUACACUACAAGUACCACCCUAUGAAAGUUAGGUCCCACGUGGCGUAGGUUAUCCGGCGUGCGGACAGGCCCUAUACGUGGCAUUGGUAGUAUCGGUGUAUGGGGAGAUUACGUGAUAAUAUGUUGAGGUCACACGUGGCGUAGGUUAUCCGGCGUGUUGACAGACCCCAUACGUGGCGUUGGUUGUACCGGCGUAUGAGGAGAUAUUGUGAUAUGAUAUUCAGGUCUCGCGUGGCGUAGGUUAUCCAGCGUUGAGACAGACCCCAUACGUGGCGUUGGUUCUACCGGCGUAUAAGGAGUUUAUGUGAUAUUAUGUUGAAGUCGCGCGUGGCGUAGGUUAUCCGGUGUGUCGACAGACCCCAUACGUGGUGUUGGUUGUACCGGCGUAUGGGGAGAUAUGUGAUAUGAUGUGCAGGUCUCGCGUGGCGUAGGUUAUCCGGCGUUGAGACAGACCCCAUAUGUGGCGUUAGUUGUACCGGCGUAUGGGAAGAUAUUGUGAUAUGAUAUUCAGGUCUCGGGUGGCGUAGGUUAUCCGGCGUGUUGACAGGCCCCAUACGUGGCGUUGGUAGUACCGGUAUAUGGGGAGAUUAUGUGAAAUACAGAGAAAUGAAAUAAGGUAUUGCCUAUGUGUGGAAUUGGGUUUUAAGGAAGAACUACGUGUGGCUUGAUCCCUCAGGGAGGGUACGUAGGCAGCCUAAGGUUAUUAGGUGUAGCCGCGGACAUAGACGUGAUUGUGUUAGGAGGUUAAAACCUCGUAUGUUGAAAUUGAGAAAAUUAGAUGAUGUAUGUUGAAAUUUAGUAGUCGUAAUUUAUAUUUAAAUUUAUCGUUUGCCUUGUUUAAGGCAUGAAUUGAUUUGCUAGCAUGCUUGGUAGUUGAGAAUUAUAGAAAGGCCGAAGGCCGUUUAUGUGAAUUGCAUGGAAUUAUAUUGUGCAUGCUGCCAGUUGUAGUUAUUAAAUGUGUUUUUAUGCAGGUUGAAAUUUUGGGAAAUGUCCAAUUUACAGGGGAGACUCUGCCGAAAUUUCGGCAGAAAGUCUCGGUCUUUAGUAAGUGGGCCUGACAUCGAGGUGAUGUCGGGGAAUCCACAGGAUCCGCCUCGAUUUUUGGAAAAAUCGGGGCGGUUCCUUUCAGACACAACCAGAUAAGUUCUCAUAGGCAGAAAAAUCAUUAAUUGUUCACAGUAAUACACCUAUGAGUGUAAAGUAAUCUCCUAUGUGUGCAUCAUACACUCCUUUAAUCCCAUCCCACAAAGAUUUUAAAUCAUCAAUCAGAGGCUCUAAGUAGACAUCUAUAUCAUUUCCAUUCUAUUUAGGACCAGAAAUCAAUAAGGUCAAUAUCAUGAACUUCCAUUUCAUGCAUAGCCAUGGUGGGAGAUUAUAUGUAACUAAGAUAACCAACAAUUGUAUCUGCUACUUAAAGAACUGUGGGGAUUGAAUCCAUCAGAUGAGAGAGCCAAUCUCAAGUUUCUUGGCUCUUUACUGAACUCGGGCCAUUUAUCAUCAACAAGUUUUUAAGACGGGAAAUUCGCUGGAUGAGACAUAUGACCGUCAAUUGCUUUUCUAGCAACAUGCCAAGUCAAACUCUUAGCUGUCAUAUGUGAUUGAAACAUCCUUUUAAACCUUGGAAUUGGAGGAAAAUACCACACCACCUUCGCUGGCACACUCUUUUUCAAGAUUGAAUCUUUGCAUUCCUUCCACCUUGAGAUACCACAAGUAGGACAAUUAGUUGAAUCUUCAUAAUCAUUCCUAUACAAGAUGCAGUCAUUGGGACAUGCAUGGAUAUUCUCAUAACUCAUCCCUAAAGGAGAUAAUGUCUUUUUUGCCUCGUACAUAGAGGAAUAUAGUGUCUUUCCUUCUGGAAGCAAAUCUCCUUGAAGUAUCAAUAAUUCUAUAAAACAAACAUCACUCAUCCCAUGUUUUGCUUUCAAAUUAUAUAACUUCACCAAAGCCGACAACAUCGUGUACUUACUGCAACCAGGGUACAAGGAUUGAUCUCAAUCCCCAAUCACAUUGGCAAACUCAUAAGGAUCAAAUCCAAUAUCGCCUAAAUCAUUAUCAUCCAUCCCUACUUCUUUAGAAACAAAACUGAACCUACUUUGCUCAUCUUCUUCCACAUUUCUACUAGCAUUAGUAGUCAAUUCCCAAGGUUCUCCGUGCCAUGUGCAAAUCUGAUAGCUUUAGUCAAUUCCAUUAAAGUAUAAGUGGUCCCUCAUAAUUCCAACCCCAAACAAUCGAAUAUUCCCACAUUUAACACAUGGACAACGAAUAUGAGUUGUAUUUCCAAGAUUUUCUACAGCAAAAUUCAAAAAUCCUUCCACCCCUAACUCAUAUGCCUUCGGUCUUCUAUCCGCAUGCAUCCAUGACUUAUCCAUCUCACACACUAUAAAAUCAUAUAUAUAAUAAAGUGAAAAGACCAGCAAUGAAACACUACUUUAUUCACAUAGCAAAGAAUGAAUUGAAAAAAAAAAUUAACCAAGAAUCAGACGACGGUUUUUACAAAAAAAAUCGUCCUGUAACAGAGGGUCAGACGACGGCAUAUCUAGUUAUCGACGUCUUUAAGCUACCCAAACCCAGAUAUUUGUAUUGCUUUUUGAAGAACCGGGUUCUGGGUUCUGGUAAACAAAAGAUGACGGUAAAUGGAGAAACACCGACGUAUCCUAAAACUUGAGACGACGGUUUAUUUCACCAACCGUCGUCGUAGUUUACGAAAAACAGAAGUCUAAAUCUCCCAUCCUCAUUCCUUUUCUAAGAACCCUUAACAAAAUGCAAACAUCAAAAUAUAAAAGAGCCAUAUAUAGCUCCCAAUUAAGAAACCAAAGCUACCAAAACAUAUAUUAAUAAACCAAAGCUACCAAAAUGAACGAAAACAUUUAUGGGUUUUACAAACUAAGAGAAUAUUGAGAGAGAGCUGAGAGAAUAUACUUACAUGGAUAUUGAGAGAGAGCUGAGAGAAUAUAACAAAUGCUUGAGAGAGAGCUUAGAGAAUAUACACAAUGCUUUGAGAGAGAGCGAAAAAUUUAAGACAAAUUUAUGUUGAAGAGAGAGAAGGAAAUAUUUUAGGGUUAAAGGGAAAUUCUGAAAAUUUUAGAUCACCGUCAAAAUUUUCAAAGGACCGCGUUUUUCAAAGACGGCUAAGGAAAACUACCGCCAUUGUAAAUCAUUUUACUACGACGGUUGAGGAAAACUACCGCCAUUGUAAAUCAUUUUUAUGUCGCCUCUAUAAAAACCGACGUCUAAAAUAUUAAAUAAUUAGAUUUGGUUUGCAUUUCGUGGGAUUCUAACGUGCGUAAUUGACCAAAAAGAGCGAGAGAAAACCAGCGUCGUUUCUAUAAAACCUAAACCCUAAACCCUAAACCCUAAACUCUAAAACCUAAACACUGAAAAAAUUAACCAAAAAUUGCUAUGGACUCCUUACAACAAUGCCUUCUAUAUUAGUAGGCUAAAAUCGGGAUUAAAUAAUUUUGAAUUUUAUGACCACCAAUGGAUCACAUAAACCUUAGGGUUAUGUUUAUGGAAAGUAUAAGGAUUAUUGUGUUUUGUCUCUAAAUCUUUUUUACUUUUGUUAUCACUUGUAACUUUGAAAUCUAAAAUUAAAAUUUUCAGGCCUUUAGGGGGGAGAUAUUGUCUCAAUGUGUUUAUAGAAUUUGAGACUGCGAAGGUUCUAGCUGAUUGACUAAGGAUGAGGCAGGAUGGAUGGAAGGUUUGCUUGGAGAUUCUACCUUUGUCAGCUCUUCUGGUUGACAUGUUGUUUAUUCUGCCUGAGGAACUACUUCUAGAUUUUUCCCUUUUCUAGCAGAACUAGUCUCUGGAAGUACUUGUGUGUCAUCCUUAUUCUUGAGGAAGACGCAGUAUUGCCUUUGAACUCUCCUCUUUUGCAUUCUGGUUAGCUUCAGAGUUGGUCUUCGGCUUUUUCCAAUAGAAUAUCAUCUACCUUCUAUGAUAGUUGCAAAGGGCUUGUCAUUUCCAGGCAUCUUAACUGGUAUUUCCUUCUUUGGCUGCUCUAUUAUUCUCUUGUUGCGUUGGGCAGGCCUUAAAUAGUCCUUCUGUCUGGCUCUAUCUCUAGGUGGAGCCGGAACUAGGCCUUGUUGGUAUGAUGUUCCAAUCCUGUCAAAAACACAAGGUGUGGGCUGACUUUGCCUAACCAGAGUUACCUCUAACUCACUUUCACAUUUGCACCUGUUGCACAAAACUACCCCAGCCGAAAUGGUUGCUUUUGGUCUUCAAUUAGCCUAUCUUUGGACUCUUCUGCCUAUGCUGGGGCUAACUUUUGCUGUUAGUUUGCCUUUCUUUUGUUUUGGCCAAUUUAAGUUGACCAUGUUGACUUGAGGUUGGGGAAAAGGGUCUGUUGUUAUCGAAUGAGGUUUCUCAGCCAGUUUUAGCCUCCAUGCUGUUAUUCCUUCCUGUAUGACGUCCCUGAAAACAACACAACUAUUGGUGGAAUGGUCCCAGGAGUUAUGCCAUCUGCAAUACUGUCUGCCCUUGAGUUCCUCUAGCUUGGGCAACUUGUAGGGUGUUUCUAUUGCCUUCUGUCGCAGCAUGUCAUCAAACAGGGCAUCAACCUUGGUUAAAUCGAGGGAAUAGACUUUGUUAUGAGCUGGUUUGUUUGGAACAAACCCUCUUGUGAAUGGUGGUGGCUUUUGGUCCUUUGGUGGCUUUGUUAAAGCCUUGCAACUGAUGAGAUGUUUUAAUUUCCCCAUUUCUGCCACUGCAACUUCUCUCUCCUCCGAGCUUUCUAUGCCUUCUUCUGAUUCUACCUCAACAAGAUUUACUGAAGAGGAUGGGGUUUUGUAAUAUGUGCCUUUGAAAGAGUUCCUCUUCUAUUGUUCUUCCCUGAGCAGCUCCUUGUAUUUAGAUGCUUUGUCUGCUAGUUCUGCCAGAUCUCCAAACAGCAUCCCAUCAAAUUUUUUUCUCAGAGAGAUUUUAAGGGAGAUUUGAGCCAUUUGGAUGAAGUGCCCUUCCUCCAUAGGGAUUCAAAAUUUCAUUUUGAGCUUUUUGAACCUGGUUAUGAAGUCUUGGGCAGGCUCAUCUUCCCUCUAUUUCCAGGUUUGAGGGCAGCAAGAUCACUGAUGGUGACUUCUGGCUGAAUCCUAAAAUAGUAGUCAUGGAAGACAUUUUCCAUCUAUUUCCAGGUUUGAACAGAAUUGGCUGGUAAGCUAGUAUAUUAGAUGAAGGCUUGUCCAGAGAGAGAAUUUCGAAAAAGCCUUAGUUUUAACAGAAGGUUAUUUUCUAUGGCUAUGCACUGGAAAGAGAAUCUGCCUAUAUGCUUAACUGAUGAAGCAUGGGUGUCUUCUCCGUUGAACAAGGUGAAGUGUGGUACCUUAAAGCCCAGGGAUAGAGGUAUUUGAUCGAUAUAAGCUGGAUAAGGCUUUCUGUAGGUGGGCCUUUCUCCUCUUCUGGCCUCAGGUUCCAUCAUCUCUCUGAUCAUUCUAUAAAGUGCCCCCAUGUCAUUCAAAGCAUUGACAUGAUGCGGGGUUCGCCCCUGUUCUGGCUAGUUGUGUUCAAUCCUUUGUUCUACUUUAUAUGGCCUGGGCAGAACUUCCUCCCUAUGCUCUUCCUCUUUUUCGAAAUCUGGAUGAUUCCUUUAGUUUGCCCCCGGUCUGUUUUUGUCAUUGUUGGCAAAGGGUUUAACUCCUACUCUACCUCUCAUGCCACUUGCUAGUGGAGGGAAUGGAUUGGGGUCCAUCCUUCUAGGUCUGUAGGGCAACACAACUGGUUGCUCAGGCAGAAGUGCCAAGGCCUGAUCACGUGGGGCCACUAGUUGUGGAAUAGGUGGAGGUUCUGGCUAGUUCUGAGGGGGUCUGAACUGGUGCAGAGCCUUCUGGAUGAACUGAAUCCUCAUGUUCUUGGAUGGGAAGGGCUCCUCCCCUCUGUCCAGCUUGGAUUUCUCCAUGUCCUGGUAUUCCAGCUAUCUGUGUGAUGAGAGGCUUCUCUUCAUAUGGCCAUGCCAGUCCUGGUAGAGGUCCAAAAGGGAGAUCUAGCUGCUGGACCACCAUGUCUAGGUUUGGAAUUUUGGCAAUAGUAGCCUCACGGUCCUUCCUGAACUGCCUGUUGACUUGCCAUUACAUCAUGGUUGUCAUGUUGUUUAGAGUAUCUUGGCUCAUUUGUGCUGUGGCUUCUUGCCGAAACACAGCCUCCUGUAUCUAGUUUAACCUUCUGGAACCAGACAUGGAACGUCUACUCGUGGUACUGCCAUGGGCUGAUUACCUAGCAUCACUUUCUUUUGACUCAAGUCCUUUUCGGAGAGCUGCUUGAUCUCUUUUCAUGGCAUAGCGUGGAUUCUGGCUAGAACUUCCAAUAUUCAUAUACUAGAGGAUUUUUCUAGAAAUAUAUGUAUUGAGAAGUCCCACUGGGCGUGCCAAAUUGUUCAUCCGUUUUAGAUUUGUUCCUGUGAUGGUAGGGUAAAGUUCCUCAUUGACUUGAAAACCAUUGGUGGUCAAUAAGUCAACUUUCUUUUGUGUACAAAUGUGCCACUGCUAGCAAUAAAAACCCUAGCAGACUUCUUAAAAAUAGAAAACUUGUGCCCAAGUUAUUAACUUCUAAAUAAGCGAUUGUGAAUUUGGGCGAGGAAUAUCUCCCAAGUAAGUUCUUUUCUUUGCCUCAGAUUGGUGAGGACUUCACAAUUUUUCACAGUACAAAACUGGUAGUUCUAGCUAGAAUAAAUGAUAAGAAAGUGAACUGUUUUCAGGCAGAACUACCUUUUACAAAGCUUAAAAAGGAAGACCAACUCUAAAAAGACAAAAAGAGCUUUUGGACUUCAAUUUCUGCUUGGAUAAAUGCUUCUGAUCCGGGCUGGACUGGGUAUGUUUGUGCUGGACUGGACUAUCAACACCUUCAACUGUCAAGUUUUAGCUGUCAAUGAAUACCAAUGUUCGAGUGUGGCAAAGCUUCAAUCUAUUUCAAGCCGUGCAAGGCUUUUUGAACGGACAGAAUUGGAACCUCUUCAGUCUGGAAGGGGUAGAAGUGGCUGAAUUUGGUGAUUACUGAGCUGGAACUGCACUGUAGUACCUGUUCUGCUUGAUCAGGGCUCUCCAUAAAUUUGUUGAGGUUUUAAUAUUGGUAAAACCCGAAGCUUAUGUUGAACCAACUUUGUAACGAGAGAAAUCUUGCUUUGAAUGACUAUUUCUCUGAAACUAAACAGAAGUUAGAGAUUCUGGAAUAUAGCUGACUUGUUUCUUAUGGCUCAAUGAGCUUUUGGUUGCUUCAGUGUUUUGAAGGCUUUUGAGAUCAAGUGAUCAUUUUGAGUUUUUAUUUUUGAUUGAUUUUUUGGCUGUCCUUUUAUCUGUUCACCUCAUCUCAUAUUUAUAGAAUAUACUGGAGUGUGAUUUCUAAUCUUUUAAUAAUGGGCGGCAAAUCUUUUAAAAGAUCUUUUUUUCUUUUUUCAAUGUCAUAAGAGAAGGAAGCUACUAUUCUGACAGAGAAAGGUUGUCAACAAUCAUCUUUCAAUUUUUCUAUGUUCACUUUUUGUUCUUUGUAAAGAGAAAGAACACAAUCUACCAUGAUGGUCAGUGUGCUUUUCCUGUUGAACAACUCCCUCGUUCUCUACUUAUCUCUUGAAAACGUAGUCUGCUUAUCUCUUGGAAAGACCACCUGAUUUGGUGCAGAGCUUCUCUAUAUAUAUAUAUAUAUAAAGGGAUUUUGAUCUUCUUCUUUUGGCUGAAAAAAUAGAGAAGUCUUUCUGUAAGACCUGCCUUCAUUAAUUUUCUAUCAACUUCUCUGUAAUAGUUGAAAAUUUUGACUUUUCAAAGCCAGGUAUUCACGUGGGGUUGUUUAGAAAAGAUCUGUUGAUUUUGUCAAUCUUUUAGGGUAGAGAUUAAAUAGCGUAAAAAGGCUGGGCUAGUCUCUUUUUCUUAGUAGAUAAAAAGCCCAAAUAUUUUGUCUCACUGCCCUUUUCUGGAAAAUAAAUGGGCUGGGUGUGUUGGAAAUUGGCCCAAUCUUAAGAAAGACUCUGGUGGCUGCCCAAAAUUGACAUAGGCUUUUCUUGAUUUUGGGCUGGGCAUGCCAAAUUAGGCCCAAACAAUGCCCCUUAAGUCUGAAUUGUUUUUGGAAUAGUUUCAGACUUAAUGAUUUGGCCAUUAAUUUGUGCGCGCCAUUUCCUUCUGUUAGCCCACAUCUGCCACGUCUGCCUAUUAUGAUCAAGACUUCGUGGGAAAGUGGGCAGUUACUAGCUAGUUAUUAUCAGGUGGCGUCUUGUCUUCUUCUUCCCACGAUUUCGAGUCUUUCUAAGAAAUUUAAAAAGACCUCAGCUCCUGUUUACUCAAAACCUAACUUCUUCAGACCUUGAUUUUCCUCAGUUUUCUCAGAAUUUUUACCCUUUUCUGCGAUCAAACCCUGCUUCCUUUCAGUUUGAUUCCCCUAUCCUAGCUCAAAACCCGAAAAUGUCUUCUCCAAAAAAUCGUGCCCAGACUUCUUCUUAUUCUGUUCCUCCUACCUACAUUACUGGGGCCGGUGUUGAUAAGCAUGUGAUUGAAGUCCGGAGCAAGCUUCAUCCUUUUGCCCAGAACGUUCUGGACAAGAACGUGUUACAUUUGUUCGAGAACACUCUUGUUUUGGAGCCUCAUCGGUUUGGUUCUGUCCCGACUGAAAUGGCAGAAUUGUUUAAAGAAUAUACUGAAGCUCCUCUAUGCUUUCAGAGCUCUUUCGUAGAUUUCAGUUUUAUAUAUAAACUAUCGUGUUUCUCCCUAUAACAUGUCGUUUUUAAGAAUUGUUGUCAAUGUUUUAUUUCCUGCUACUAUAAGACGGCGAUUAUUUAUACAUAUGAGACGUGUAAAUUAGAAUGAGACGUCAGUCUUUGGGAUUUAAAUUAAGUUUUUACGAUUUAAUGUCAUUUUAGUUCAUAUAAGGACAUAAAUGUCCUAACCAAAAAUAUAUUUAUGUACAUUGUCAAUAAAUUAAAAUAAACCUAAACAUUGUUAAAAUAAAUUAGAUCACUUAUUAUUCUGUAAUUACUUGUUAACGAAUUCAGCCCAUUCCAACCUGACUUCGUCAAUAUGUUCUUAUACAUACUGAACUGGUUCCUUUUUCUUAUCAAACUGCAAAUAAAUAACAAAAACCAACGUGUUAUAAAGAUUACAACGACUGCUUUUAAAGAAAAAGUUGUGGUACUAAAAUAAAGAAUUUAUAUCUUAAGUUUUGCCUUUUACCUUCUUCUCAAAUGCUAGGCCUGGAUCAUGAAUUAUAUCUCUCAUGAAAUGCAUCACGUAAUAGCCACACUCUACAUUUGUUGGUUGUCGAGGAGUGCCAUGUAGAUUUUUCCAUAUGACUGAUUUACAUGAUGAUUAAUUGCCUGUGUGAGAGUUAUACAUUUUGAUUGAACUGUUUCAAGAAAAUGAAAAGUGUUAAUGAUAAAAAUAAAAAUCUAAAGCAAAAAUAUUAAACGUCGUGGUAAAUAAGUGAAGACGAUGGUUUUGUUAAAAAAGUGAUGUUGUAUUUCAUUUCAAACGUUGGUAAAUAAAAACCGUCGUUGUGUAGAAUUCUAACGUCGGUGACGAUGAAAAAUGACGUAUAACCAAAAAUUGUUUGUAAAUGAAAGUUGAACAGAAAAAAAUAAAACUUCCUUAAAUGAAAAACACAAACGACGUGGUAUUUCAAUUAAAAUGACGGUUUACAGAAAAUACUGACGUUGUAAAUGAUUUCAAACAUCGGUUUGAAGUUACCAUCGUGUUUUCAUUGUAACGUCGGUAUUAGAAAAAGCCGUAUAUCAUUCAAAUGCAAAUAAAAAAAUGUUAGAUUUUCAUAGAUAAACUUACAUAUUCACUAUAUUUCUCAUGUCCUCGUCAACAACGCGGUUUGGCAAUGAAUCCAUGUAAUAGAUAGUCUCCUUCGCUGGUCUCACAAUUAUUAACACCCAAUGACCCCUACACAUAAUGAUCCAUAUAGGUUAAAUAUACUAGAAAGAAAAAUAGGCAUCAAGUAUAGUUAAGGGGACUAACCUUGGAUUACAAGGCACCAUGUAAAAUUGAUCCCCAUUUGCGUUUUUCAGGCGGUCUGAGAGAUGUUUCAAACGGUAAGAUAACGUUCCAGAUUGAGAGCUGACUUGUCCAAGGUCCACGAAGCCAAUAAGGUUUACCAUAUUUUCUAUUUUUAAAUAGUCAAAUAGGCACCUAAAUAUAUGAAAUUCAAUUAAAUGAGAUUUUAACUUUAAAGAAAGGAAAUGUAUAAUGCAAUCACUGUGGAUCCAAUCUCAACCAUGGAAGGAAAUUGUAAAAUAUCUUCACACAAGAGGAAGGUAUCAUGGUUAAUGCCAAAGGCUUCCUCUGGAAUGUGAAUUCUAAUGGUCUCGUUAAUGGGCUUCAACUUGGUCUCGACAAAUUGAAAUAAGGCUAACAGAGGAGGUGGCAUGUCUAGCUUUGAGAGAUCCUGUUACAACAAAUAAAUAAAGAAAUAUAAGUUAGUUUGUACACUAAGUAAAAUAAACGACUCUAACUAAACCAAUCAAACCGACGUGGUAUAUAAUAUAAUCGACAGUUUCUAGAACAUACUGAAGGAGUAAAGGUUAUAGACGACGGUAAAGACAUAACCAUCGUUAUGUAAAUGUUCUAACGUCGCUGCAUUAUGGAAAGGUCGUCUAAUUAAAAUGCAGUGAAGCCUUUAUUGAAAUACACGACAGUUUAUAAAAUAAACACCGACGUAGUAAAAUACUGAGACGACGGUUAUCAGCAACGUCUAUUUGAAAUUAUAAAUCAGAAAAAAUCAAAUAUCAAAGAUUUUACCGUUUCAUCUUGCCAUUGUUUAGCAACAUCAGCAUCAUUCGUGGGAUUUUCUUCCUCCAAAACAAGGGGUCUCACAUUAGAGCAGCUUGCUUUGUCAGACAUUAGAUUUUUUGGAGUAAUUGGAGUUUUAUUGAGCAAGUUGGGAUCACAGUUGGGAAUUAGUUGACUGAAUUGUUUCAAUAAAAUUUCCCUCUCUGCUCUGACUGCCUCCAAAACAGUUUCUUUUGCCUUAGCUUUAAUCUUUUUGGUUUCUUCUCUCACUGCCUCCAUAACACUUUCCUUCAAUUUGUUAGCAAAUUUUACUCUCUGCUGUCUCGACAAAUUGAAGAAUUGAGUUGGGGAAACCCCAGCUCCAACACCUCUAACUCUCCCACCAUGCUCAGGGGUUCCCAAAGCCAAGGUCAAAAUAUCGUUGCUCUCAGAGACAGCAGAGUGCCCUCGGAAACUUGUUUUUUCAAAUCAUCCUAAAAGUGAGAGAGAGAGAGAGAGAAUGUUAGUGAGUGAACAGAUAGUAAAACAGAUUAAAUAAACAACUAUACAAAAAUAUUAACCGACGUGGUAAAGACUUUAAAAAACUGAAAUCAAUCCCCAAUAGUAACAGGGACCAUGCAGCAACGAUUUGGUUGACAGUAGUAUAGGUUGGAGAUGCUGUUGAUCAUUAGAUACUAUUUUUUUAAAUAUCAAUUCUGUAACAUCCAGACCUAAAAAAUUAAUGAUUUUGAUUUAAAAUUAAAUUUAAAUAAGCAAUUACGAAUUUACCCUUGGGGAAGGGGUAUUUUGGUAUUUUUUUUUUAUUCAGAAAGAGUUUGGGGCAGUGACUAGUAUUUUUGGGUAGAUCGUACUGAGACGAAUCCGUAGACACGCGGUAGGCCUGAAUCGGAGUUGUAACGAAGAAACGGUGACCAAAAUUAGUCCAGUGGCAAACUUGUAAAUAUUUUGAACUUGGGUGUAGAAAAAUCUGAAACUGGCUUCCUCUCUCCUGCGUGCACACGUCCUUCUCUCUCUCUCCUCUCUCUCUCCUCGAUACCAUCACUCUCUGUCUCUCUCUUCGAUUCUCUCAAUUCUGGCCACGGCAAGGGCCGGGACUGGUUCCGAUCAACUCCUCACAAAGCCCCGAACCAGAACCACCACUUUUCUUGGCCGGAAAGCUCGAGUUUCGCGUGGUAAUCUCGACUGGUUUGAACCAGUUUUCCUCCGUCAUUGUGCCGCCGCCAUCGCAGCCCAAUCUCGGUUAAACAAGUGAGGUUUCUUACUCUUUUUCCGAGCUCUAGCUGCCUGUUGGGUAGGAUUGGAUUGAUUUUUUGUCUAGGAUCCCGAUUUUGAAACCUAAGUUUUGACGAAUUUCAAAGUGAAAUUCCGGCCGGUUGCCGUCCUAAUUAGACCUCCCCGUAGUUGAAUAAAGUGAUCCUCGCUUCGAGUAGUAGCUAAGGUAGGAAUGGUGAAUUGCGGUGUGGAGUUUUUCCAUCACUGAAAAUUACUCUACACAUCCACGCGUUGCCAGGGCAUGUGGAGGCGCAUGGGCAAUGUGGUGAGACCACAUUUUAUCCUGAUGUAGUCUCCUAGUCCUCACGUGCGCGUAAGUGUGCUCGAAUUUCAAUUCGAAUGUUGUUUGACUAUCGAACGGAUUUAUGCAUAUUGUUUCUUAUCCGGGUUCAAUAUGUUCGGACCAUUGGAUCGAGUCCAAAUUUACGUAUGUUAAUCUAGGCACCCCUAGGAUCAUGUGCGAAUUCGCGGAUCGUGAAUCGGAGCCCCGAAUGUUCCGAUUCAAUAAUUUGAAGUUUAUGGUUUGCGAUAACCGUCAAUUUCUGACCAAACCUACAGGACGUGUUUCCUAAACCCGUAGUCGGACCUUAGAAUACUCGUUAUGCGUGCACGCACCGGGAACUUGAGAAAAUUAGUAUUUAAUUUGUAAAUUCCGUUUUGAAGUGAUUUUUUAUUAAUUAAGGGUGCGUAUCUCGAAAUAGGUGCUCCAUCACUAGCACGCAGCAGGUAGGACCCUCUUGAGGUCAGGCAGUGUGGGACUACUUGUGAGUGGACAUUUAUUUUAUAUAUGCAUUAUUUUCAAUGAUUGAAAGAAUAUGCAUGAAAUAUAUAUAUUUUUUGGAAUAAAGAUUGAGAAAUUCAUAUGUUGUUAUAUCAGUAUUAUUUAAUUUAGAAUUUGGUUUGAUUUGAUGAUGAGUUAUAUAAAGGUCAAGUUAUUCGUGAUUAAGUCUUGGAUGAAUUUUGGGGGAAUCGGGAAUUGAAUAUUAUGGUUUAUGGUGGGAACUUAUAUGAUUACACUGUGUGGAGUACCAUCCCCUAGUUACUAGGCUUCCCACAUGUGGCGUUGGAAAUUUUCCAGCGUGUGAUGAUGUAGUCUGCACGCAUAGGACUUAGUAUUGGAGCUACACGUGGCGUUGGAAUUUCCGGCAUGUAAGCUAUGGAGUUUCGUCCCCCGGUUGGACCGCUCAUCCCUAGACGCAGGAUAGCAACUGAAAAUCUUGCGGGUUAGCCAAACAAUCCCCCGGUUGGAUUGUUUCCCCGGUACCUAAGUAGUGUGAUAAAUAUUAUGUAUAUUUAUAGAUAUAUAUAUUUCUAUGUGUGUGUGUGUGUGUGUGUGUGUGUGUGUGUGAGUAUAAAUCAGUUAAAGUAUAUGUAGUGGUUGGGUAAGAGCAGUAUAAAUUUUGGGGAUAAAGUUUAUGGAUAGAGUGAUUGAUCUCAAAGGGUUUCGGAGAAUGAUGUUUUUGAUCAUUAAAUAAAAGUUAUGAAUCUGCAUGUCUUGAGCAUUAUUUUUAGACGGUGGGGUUAUUAUGUUGUUUUGAAUGCAAAUUUUGUUUUUCCACUCACAUGUUUUCUGUUUUGCGCCCCCCAAACAGUAGUCGCUCAAGGGAGAGUUGCAAGCCAUGUUCGAGGCCCCGAACUGUGAACAUCAGUAGAUUAGGUUUCGAGUAAUUUCUUUCUACUCAACUGGAUGUUCUUGUAAACUAAAUUCGUUAGAUGCUCUAUUAUUGCCCCUGUUAGGUUUUACUUGUGAGGCCAGAGGCCAUUUAGUUUAUACUGUUGAAUAAUAAAUGCAUGCUGCUGGUUGGGAUUAUAUUGUGCUUAUGCAGGUUGAAAUUUUUGGGAUUGUUCAAUUUACAUGGGAGACUCUAGCAAAAUUUUAGUAGAGAGUCUCGGUUUUUAAUAAGUGGGCCAGGCAUCGGGGUAAUGUCGGAAAUAAGACUGGAUUCGUCCCGGUUUCCGAAGAAUUCGAGGCGGGUCCUGUCAAGUUCCUCCUAUUAACAAUAAUAAAUUAAAUAUUUAUAUAACUGAUAACAGUUCCUCAUAUUAACAAUAAUAAAUUAGUAUUUUGUAUAAUAAACAUGUUUAAUGAAAUUCAUCUUCUUCUAGCAUGUUUAUUUAAAUUCUAAGUUUUCUGAAGAAAAAAAAAAAAAAAAAGGAGAAGGAAAUGUCCUAAAUUAAAUCUUAAAAGUUCAUUUUUUUCUGUCCCUAUAUAUUUUUUACCCAAUUAUAAUUUGAGAAAAAAAGGUGAAUUAACUGUCAUUUCACCUUCAUCAUUUUCAUGAUUUAUAUAAGAUUCUUCAAAGAUCAUUUCCACAAAAAAUUACUUAAAUUCGAAUCCAUUUAACCGUCUAAUUAAAUCGUUAGGACCGUUGAAAUAAAAUUUAAAGUGAGUUUAAAGUGAGUCCUACUAUGUCUCCCUCAAAUAAGAUCAUUUACAGGAUCUGUCGAGUCAUAUGAGAAUGUUUAGCUUUUCGAUCCCAAGAGUUUGGUUCGAUUUUCAUAUAUAUAUAUAUAUAUAUAUAUAUAUAUACAAGUCAAUUUACUUUAAAAAGUUCACCAAAUUUUAUUUUUGGUCUCGGUAGUUUGCUUGAGGGCCUUUUUCUGUCAAUCUAUUUGUUGUGAUUGAAAGAUUUUAUAUAAAACAAAAGAUAUGUUUUUAUCUUAAAAAAUGCUUAUUUUCAGAUCUUUACAUAUAGACAUACAUAUGGCCUGAGAAUUCAAGCAAUAAAGACAUAAGCUGAUGAGCAUUCAUAAUCAUUAGAAUGAGUACUGAAUGGUCAACUCUUUCAAAAUACUUCGGAAAAAAACAAAGGACAAUACUUCCUUCCUUACUCAUAAGAAGGAACUCCUUCUCACCUUCUAUUGUCCCUCAACCACAAAGUAACAAGUGUUCUCUUUUUUUAAUUGUCAAUUUUUUUUUUUUCACUUUUACUGAACCCCUAGCUUUUUACCAAAGCAAAAAACACAAAACAAUAUUCCCAUUGUUUUUUUUUUUCAUUUUGAUUUUUUUCUCAACUUUUUGAAAAAUAACAUUUUUCCUUCUUCAGUAAAAAAUUGAAGUCUUUGUGGUUAAAAGCUAAGGUUUCAGUAAAGGUUUAAAAUAAAUAAAAAGUUUUGACAAUUCAAAAAACAGAACACAUAUCACUUUGUGGUUGAGCCGCAAUAGAAAGUAAGAAAGAAUUCCACCUUACCCAUAAGGAGGGAAGUAUUGUCAAAAAGAAAACAUCUUAAAAAACACACAGAAAACCCACCAUCACUACUUAAAAGAAGUAGAGAAGUCCAACAUUCUGAUUUUUAUACACCUACGUGACGUGAGCAUUCAAUAAUCAUCCUACACAUAUGUUGAUGUGAGCAUUCAAAAUCAUUAGAAUGAUUUAAUUGAAGACUCAACGUACGGACGUCUUUUUCACUUAGAUUCCCUUCCUGUACAAACUUGAAUCAGUUCCUCCACGACCCCAUCAAUCUCUUCAUCCUCUUUCUUGUUCACGUUGUCGCUUAUUUUCAAUGCCUUUUUUCUCACUCCCUCUCCAAAUUUCUCCACAACCACAUCUCUAAUCACCUUUGCGACCUCUUCUCUUUGCAAACUUCCUUCACCUGUUCUCUUAACCUCCACACCAACACCCACCUCCUCCACUAGUCUAGCGUUGAUCGGCUGGUCAAGAUGCAUAGGCAUGGCUAUAAUUGGAACACCAAACUUGAUGCUCUCCAACACUGAGUUCCAUCCGCAGUGACUCACAAACCCCCCAACACUAGAAUGCUGCAGUAUCUUUGCCUGUGGGGCCCAACCCUCCAUUAUCACUCCCUUCUCUCCCACCCUCUGUAAAAACCCUUCUGGUAACACCUCUUCAACCCUAGUACUUCUCUCCUCCUUAGAAAAUCUUAUAACCCAAAUGAAGCUCACUUUGCUAAGCUCUAAUCCGUGAGCUAUCUCUUCUAUUUGCUCCUUGGACAGAAAGUACUCACUGCCAAAGCAAACAUACACAACAGAAGACCUUUCCAUUUUGUUCAGCCAUUUCAUGAUCCAUGUUUCCUCAUCAACUUUUUGAUCCAUUGGCUCUUGAACAAGCGUGCCAACAGGCACGAUCUUCUUCCCCGUUAAAUCAGAGAGAUAAUCAAUAUAUUUUUCUUCAAUCUCGCUGGAUGUCUUGACCAAAAUGAUGUUACAAGAUCGAGCACUGCAUUGCUGAACACGGUCUCCGUCUUUGAUGCCAUUUGCUGAAGAUUCCAACAAAUUGUUGAACUUUUCAGCUUCGUAAUGUUGAAGAUAAAUCGAAGGAAAAGGAAACUUGACACUAGGGUUCUUGAGAUGUUGAAUACUAAAUGAAGUAAAGGCAGCACCCAUGGUGGUGAAUUCAAUGGAUGGAAAAUUUUGCAAUGAAGCUAGAGAGGGCGCCCAUGGUUGAAGAACAUCAUAUAUGAGCAAAUCUGGACUUAGGGUUUUGAGGAUGUUGGAGAAGUUGUUGCUGGACAUGCUGAAAGCCGUUUUGAGAGUGGACAUGAGAUGGGGAGGGAGGCCAUUGGUGGUGUGGUAGUGCGGUGGGAGUUCAGGCAAGUCAUCAUGUGGAAGAUGGAGUUCCACAAAUUCAAUGCAAUGAGAAUAUUUUUGGGAGAGUUUAGGCUUGAUGGAGCUGAGAUUUACAGGCGUGGAACAAAUAAAGAUGUGAAAAUUUCUCUUGGUGGUCAGCUUCUUGGCUAGCUCUAGGUAGGGAGAUAUAUGGCCGUGAGCUAGCCAUGGAAGCAAAAGAAUAGUAAGGCUUCUUUGGUCAGAGAAAACCAUAUUUUGUUUUCCUUUGACUUGUUUUCCUUUGACUCUUUUGCUUGAGGUUGCUCGAUUAUAGGCUUAUUGGUAGUUUGUUUGUGGCUAGCUCUAUGCAUAUAUAUAUAUAUAUAUAUAUAUAUAUAUAUAUAUAUAUACACACACAAAAACGCGUGAUGAUUGGAACAUGCACACGUAAGUUCCAGAGAGUGAUGAUUGGCCUAUGAUAAAGACUCGAAACAAGAAUAGUUUAAAUUUUCUUCUUUGUUUGGCUUGAUAUAAGACGAAUGCACCAAACAAACCGACUAAAUGCCGACACAAUAAUUAGGUACGUAAUAAUAUCAACUUUCAUUAUAUAGAUCUGAGAAACAAAAAGUUGAACUUUGAUGACAAGCGAUAUUAAGGAAGGGCACAAUCGAACUUAGGAUCUCGAAUGUUGAAGUACAUGCUCUUAACAACUUGAGCUAUAAGGUAUUUGUAAUGACAAUUUAUGGUUUUAAUUAUACUUUUGAAUAGUUGCUUCCUUCUCUUUCAUUUUUAUUUUUAUUUGUUUAUAUUUAACUCUAAUUUUAUUUAUAUUUCUGGUCAAGGUAUAAAGACUUUGAAUCUCUCUCCAAUUAUUUUUCACAGCCGAAACUCCUUUAGUUUCCACAAAUCUUUUUAAACAUUUCAGGCAUAUGUAUGUUUCCGAGUCGGAUGGUUCACGUAACCAAGAAAUUUAAACUUGUUUUUGUUUGUUCCUCCGAAGAAAGCACAACAAAAGGACAACCUACAACCAAUACUUCUCAUUGAAUUUGUUGCCGUGAAUGAUUAGGACUCUGCCCAAACUAGUAGUUGCGUUUCUGAAUUGUUUGAAAACACAUAUCAAAUUAUGAUUUCUCCUCCCCGAAAGAAAAAUUGACGUAGAAGUAUCAUGAUCUUGAUGACACAAAUUAGAAUCUAGGGUUUUCGAAGUGCCUAAUGGACAACUACUUAUUUAGAAAUAUAUAUAUUUUUGUGGCUAAAAUUUAAAUUUAUUAUAUAUAUUCUCAAUGCAGAAACACAUAAAUCUAAGUUCGAAUUCAUCCUUUUUUUGUUUUUUUUUUUUUGUUUUUUUAACCCAGAAGAAAAAUUGAGUCCCACUCUGCUGUGUAGAAUGCGCGUUUAGUAUAGAUUUUUUUAUUUUUGAGUCUCUUAUCUGGUUCCCGAGCUUCUACAUUUAGGUCUCGUGUAUUUAUCUGCAUUUUCUUAAAUCUAAAUCACUCAAACAAUCUAACCACUUAACAAAUGACACGUACUCAAACUUAAAAUCAGAAUGGAUGGAGUAGAGGCUUACACCGAUGAUUCUUGGUCAAGACUUGAGAGACAGAUGGAGACGAGGCAUGACAUAAAGUCUGAAGAAGAGAAACGAGGAAGCUUCAUUUAGAUGGUGGUGUAAGUGCAUACGUAAAGUCCAGAUUCAACAGGAAAGCAUCUUAAACGUAAAGAAAAUAAGUUUACCAGAAGCAAAAGAGAUACUGAAGUAAUUGUUUAUCAACUGAACUUAAACGAAAUAUUAACUCUUUGUUGUGCCAUAAGCACAAGAUCUUAUGAAAAAAAAUUCAAGAUAAACCAUAUAAUAUUGGGAGAUUCACGUUUAUACCGAAUAUAGGAAUUCAAAUUAUAAAAUAAAUAAAUAAAUAAAAUAAUCGAUAUGAAAUGGACUUUAGAAACACACACAAAGCCUAUUUACAACAUAACAAAAAGGUUUUUCCCUUCUUUUAAAUUACAAAACUGCCAUUGAUUUCUUAAAACAAACCCAACUCCAAAACCUCAUUAAAAAAGCACAAAACACUCAAUAGGGUGUCAAAGUAAUUUAAUAAUAAAAAAUAAAUUCAAUAAGGCCAAUUGAAUUUUUUGGAUUUUUUUUUGGGUUUGUUUAUAGAAAUUAAUGGUGUAGGGUUUAUCUAUAUUAUUGGUGUUAAGAAUGAAUAAUGACUAAAUAUCUCUAUAAUAUUUUCUAACUCACAAAAUAAUAUAGAAAAUAAAUGCAAGAACAAGAAAAUAGCAAUAUGCAAUUUAACGAAGCUGCUUACAAUCAGUGCAAAUGAGCAAACAAAUUCGCUAUUAAUUUAUGAAGUGUUUUUGUAUUUACAAUACCGCCUCUUGAAUGUCCACCAUACAAUAAUAUAGUUGCAUCAUUAAAAACUUUACUUGAAAAAUCGUUUGGGACAAAACUUAAGCUAAGAGAAAAAGAGUGCAACACAAAUGAUAUUGACAUCACAUAUGUCUCUCCUACAGAGUGAGCUUUGGUGAUGCUUGUAUAAAAAUUGCUUUCACAUCAUUAUUGGGAGAUGUAUGUAUGUCAUCAAUCAUUUGAAUCUUGUUGAGGUUAAAGUAAAACCAAAAAAAUAUCAAGGGCCAUUUUCAUAUAGUUUUUCACAAUAAAAAUUAACAAAAUAACUUCAUGUUCUUUAAUAUCAUCAAAAAAAUAAUAUAAACAAACUCAUAGUUUACCUUUUCAAUGAUAAGUGUUUGGAAAAUUUACAUGGAAUAAUAUUUGGUAUGCUAUGCUAGCAUCUCAUAAGCUCUUCAAGAGACCUAAAUUUUAUGAUAACUUCUUAAAAAAAUUUGAAUACUUUUCAACAAUAUUAAACUUGAAUUCAAACUCAUAAUUCAAUCAAAGUACUCAUUGAGGCAAUUUAGAUCAUUUUCAUUUUAAGAAAAUUGGGUGCAUACAUUGAGCUUCAUGCCCUUUACCUUCUUAGAGAUUUUCUUCGAGCAAUUUAUAUUGCAUGACAGAUUAUAUCUCUUAGAAUUUGUUCUUAUGUAUUCUUCAAGAGAUCUCUUCUUGCAAUAUGCUUCAAACACUUCAUAAUCUUUAUAGAUUUUUCAUGUAGAUUUAAGGUCUCCAUGAAUAUUGAGAUUGAAACAAGGAGUAAAAUAAAAGUUUAAGAAAAAUUUUCCCUGAUUAUUUUGUAAUUAUAAUGUUGGUGAAAACCUAAUUUCCUUUCUGAAAUUUGUGAAAUUUGUUAUUUGGCUAAGCUAAAAGUAUAAUAUUGACAAUAAAACGUAUACGAAAGUUUCUCUUUGGCUGGCUUCUUGGCUGGCUCUAGGAAGGGACAUUGCGGCCAUGAGAUAACCAUAGGAAGCAUAAUAAGAAUGCUUGGAUGCUCUGAACAAUCCAUUUUCUGACUCUUUUUCUUGAGGCGGUUGUUUUCUUAGGCCCAUCAGAGUUUAUGGUCGACAGAUAAGCUUCAAACACAUGCAUUGGUCGUGUCAGUUGCGAUAAACUCUUCCCAACAAUCUGAGACUCACAUCACUCCAAACACAUAAAAAGAAGUGGAAAUUUGCUAUUCUUUGUCUUUGUUUGGACAGCUAAUAGCAAAGCAUUGGAAACAUCGAAAAAAGAAAGUUAAUUAAUUUAAGAAAAACAAAGAAAUCCUUCUUUUUUUUUCUUUUUUUUUUCAGCAAACCGAAACAUAAAAUCCGAAAAAGAAGAAGGCAUGUCCAAAAUUACAUCUUGAAUUUAUUUUGGAGAUUCACUAUUAUACUCAAAUUAUAUAUGAAAUAAAUUUUAGAAACACACAUGACGCCAAUUUACAAUAUAACAAAAAAACUUUUAACUUCUUGUAAAUUACAAAAUUGUUAUCGAUUUCUUAAAACAAGCCUAAUCCUAAAACCUCAUAAAAAAAAAAUCAAAACACUCAAUAAGGCAUCAAAGUAAUUUAAUAAUUAAAAUUAAAUUUAAUAGGGUCAUCUGUCAUUUUUUGGAUUUUUUUCGAAGUUGUUUAUAAAAAUUAAAAUAAUGUAUAGUUUGUUUAUAAAAAUUAAAUGAUGUAGAGUUUCUUUAUAUAAUUAAUGUUAAUAAUGAGUAUAUGAAUAAAUGUCACUUUUCUUUAUUAACCAUUUAUAAUAUAUGAACUCAAGACUUCCUAUCGAACACCGAAUGGUCUUUCCAUUCCUUGUUAAUUCAAAGUCUGAAAAUGUUCGGUGUCAGCUCAUGAAUUUAAAGGCUUAAAGGCUCAAAACUUGAACGAAUAUGAAAGAAAAAAGUCGUUCACCGUUCAUCCUCUUCCUGCAGCUGUGCAUGCUAAUCACCCACUGAAUUAAACAUACAAAUACGCUUUAUGUUUUCUCAAAUUGUUCUUUGAACUAAGUAGAGGUUGGAAUACACUCGGGGUCAACAUUGUUCAAAUACAAAACACUUCUUAAUUUUAUAUUUUAUCAAAACAGAUCGAAACUUCAUUCAAACUGAGAACCUAGAUUACAAAACUACCAGAAAAACUGGAAUCUGCACUGUGGCCUCAUUAAAACCUUGCUUUAAAAAACUCCUAAAAGAGGAGAAUUCAGUCAAGAAAAAAGAGUACCACAGCAAGUGAAAUCCGAUAUCAUACUUCAUUCCUUUCUCAUACAAAGUUGAAUCAACUGCUCUACCACCCCAUCUAUCUCUUCAUCCUCUCUCUUUUUCAUGUUGUCUCUCAAUUCCAUUGCCUUUCUUUUCAAACCCUGUCCAUUUUCUUCCACCACCACAUCUCUGAUUACUUUUGCUAUCUCGUCCCUUUUCAGCCUCCCGUUCUCGUUGCCGCCUCCUCCCAUUCUCUUAACCUCCACACCAACUCCAACGUCCUCUACUAUUCUAGCGUUAAUAGGCUGGUCAAGAUGCAUAGGCAUGGCUACAAUUGGAACGCCAAACUUGAUGCUCUCCAACACUGAGCUCCAUCCACAGUGGCUCACAAACCCACCAGCACUAGAAUGCUUCAAUACUUUUGCCUGUGGAGCCCAACCAUCCACUAUUAUUCCCUUCUCCCCCACCCUCUCAAAAAACCCUUCUGGUAAUACCUCUUCAACCCUAGUACCUUUCUCUUCCUUAGGAAAUCUUAUAACCCAAAUAAAACUCACUUUGCUAAUCUCUAGCCCAUGAGCUAUCUCUUCUAUUUCCUCCUUGGAUAAAAAGUACUCACUGCCGAAGGAAACAUACACCACCGAAGAUCUUUCUCUAGUGUUUAGCCACUUCAUGAUUUUUGUUUCCUCCGAAUCCACUUCUUGCUCUAUAAGGUCUUGAACAAGUGAACCAACAGGCACAAUCUUCUUCCCAAUUAGAUCAGAGAGAUAAUCAAUAUAUUUUGCUUCAAUCUCUCUAGAACUCUUAACUAAUACGAUCUUACAAGAACGAUCGCUGCACUGCUUAGCACGGUCUCCAUCACUGAUGCCAUUUGAUGAAGAUUCUAACAACAUCUUGAUCUUACUAGUCUCGUAAUAGAUUGAAGGAAACGGAAAUUUGACACCAGGUUUCUCGCCAUGGUGGGUACAAACUGACAUCAUGGCAGCACUGGUUGUGAAGAACUCGAUGGCUGGAAUGUUUUGUAACAAAGCUAGAGAGGGUGCCCAUGGUUGAAGAAAAUCAUAAAUUAGCAAAUCCGGGUGUAGGGUUUUGAGGAUGUUGGAGAAGUUAGGGCUUGCCCUGUCGAAGGCGGUUUUGAGAGUGGACAUGAGGUGGGGUGGGAGGCCAUUGGUAGUGUGGUAAUGAGGUGGGAGUUCAGGCAAGUCGUCAUAUGGAAGAUGUAGUUGCACGAGUUCAAUGCAACGAGAGUAUUUUUCAGAGAGUUGUGGCUUGAUGGAUCUGAGAUUUACAGGUGUGGAACAAAAAUAGAUGUGAAAAUUUCUGUUGGUCAGCUUCUUUGCUAGCUCUAGGUAGGGAGAUAUGUGUCCAUGAGCUAACCAUGGAAACAUAAGAACACUGAAUUUUCUUUGCUGAGAAGAAUCCAUUUUUUCAGACUCUCUCCAUUCAGGUCGUUUGUUUUAUAGAUCUAAUAAGUGAGAUGAAAAGAUGACAAAAUAUAUACAGAUGAGUCAUGUGAAUCUAGGUUUUUUCUUCGUAGUCAGAAGAGUCGUGCGUAAGUGCAUGCGUGUAUACAAGACAAAAGACAUACGUUAGACUUCUUUAUCUUCGUUCGUGCUGAUAUAUAUUAAGAAACAGACCCUUGCAACUCUAAUAUCCUAGACAAAAAUUCAAUUUUAAAAACUGAUGCUAUGUCCUGUGUUUUCCUAAACAAUCCCUAUUUUCUGUAGUCUUUCAAUUAUUCUAAAUUUGCUCAACAUUCAAUAUAACAUCAAUUUCUUAUAAAUCCCUGAACUUUCUCUAGCAUUCAAAAUUUUAAAACAUUCUCAAAGUAAUUCGGCUUCAAAGGAAUGGUAAACUUAGUAAUGGCUUCUUUUCCCCUUUCACGAUGCAGUGGCUGAGAGUUCUGAGAACGGAAGUUGUAGUUGGGUGACUUUGAUUCUUUUUAGCUGAUGCCUACUGCUUGAAUGAAAUGGAGCAAAGAGGUCAUCAGUACUUACACUGCUACUAGGAGGGUAAGCUUGAUUAUGUGUAUACUAUAACUUUAGAGUUUUGGUAUUUGGAAUGAUGAUAAUUUCAAUGUUACAUUUAUUUUGUUUACUACACUAUGUUUCUUUGUUGAACUCAAAUGUCAUGCUGAUAAAAAGAAAUAUAUUGUUGUAUGAAAUUGAAUCAAUAAGGAAAUUGACUGAGAUUUAAAAAUAAAAUUACACAGACACAGCAUGCAAUAUUAAUGCAAUAUUAAAUCUGUGUUAAAUAAUGUAGGACAGAUAGAUUAGCUGAUCGAGGAGCAGCUGGAUAAGCCCGUGCAUGUCGUUGUGCCAGAAAAGCCCAAUUCGUGCAAGUAUGGGCCCUGAACUCUUAAUUAGGCUAUGAUCUGUCAUUUUGAAGAGAACGGCGUGACAAGUGCAACUCACUGCUGUAUUGUGACAUACGGACUAUUUUAGUCAAAUUCUAUCAUUUACAUUGCAUUUUCAGCAUUUAAAGUUUUUUAAAAAAUUUGGAAACUUUUGUUAUUUUCCUUUUUUGUUUUCUAAUUAGCUUUCUUAGCAAGUCUAGGGGUUCUCUUGUAUAAAAGGAAUGCAUUGGAGCAUCCUAAACUAUUCAGUUUAUUAUCAAUCAAAUACUUUUGAGUUAUACUAAAUUUCGGAUGGAUCCGGCAUGUUACUUGCAGGGUUAUCAUUCGAUCUCCUUAUUCCCUAUAUCUCGCUACGUCAGCUGUCAUGGCCAACUGGGGAAGUCGUGUAAUGGAUAUCACUUAUGGUGUGCACCAUGUGUAGUAAAUAGUUGUCCAAAACCUUUCCCGCAGCUCUAGUGCAAGGGUGUAUUGUGUGCACGUUUGAGGCGUGCAUAUAGGUUCCGUAAAUUUCAUGAGCUUUUUAUGGCUAGUUCUUUCGGGAAGUGCAUAGGGAGUGAUCAACUUCUUGGUCACUAACCUGUUUGAUAUUCUUAGUAAUGGGGUGUUAGUUGGAUUGACUUAGACUUUUAGUUUGCUCUCAAGUGGUCCCGAGUUGAAGCCCCCACGGUAUCCGUGUGUGUGAAUUUUCCCCUUCCCUUUCCUAAUUUAACAACAACAACAAAAAAUACUUAUUUGAUAUCCUGGUUUAUUUAUUUAUUCUUUUUUAAAAAAAAAUUUAAAACUUUUUUUAUUAAAAGGGGUAAUAUCAUACUAAACUCACACACACUACAUAGAUGAUAGGACUUGAAUUCACCAUAAUCGUUUUUUAGGAGCAAUUACUUAUGGUAAACAAUUACUUCAAACCACUACACUAGUAGUCAUUAGCGGCGUUUUAUAUUCUUGCACAAGCUAUGUGGUCACUAAUAUUUUGUGUAUUAAGGGCUUGUGGUGUUUCAAUGUUGAUAAAAAUGCCAAAUCAGAAUUCAAUACAAGAGUACAACCACCUAAAGGAUAGCAAUGAACAGAUACUAUUUUAUCCACACAAAAAAAAGUUUAUCUGAUAUGAGCAUUAUUCAAAAUCAUUAGAAAAUGAGUACUGAAUGCUAAAAAGACGCUAAAACGUAGAGUCAAAGCCAACAUUCACAUGAUCGGCCAUCAGAUACGCUUAGCAUUCAAAAUCAUUAAAAUUAUUAUUGAAGUCUCAACUCCUUUUCACUUAAAAGUAGAUAUUUGUUUCCCUUCUCCUACAAAUUGCAUCAAUUCCUCCACGACCCCAUCUAUCUCUCCAUCUUUGUUUUUCAUGUUGUCUCUUAAUUCCAAUGCCUUUUUUCUCAUGCCCUCUCCAAUUUUCUCCACAACCACCUUUCUGAUCACCUUCGCCAUCUCUUCUCUUUGCAAAAUUCCUUCUCCUGUUCUUUUAACCUCCACACCAACACCCACCUCCUCUACUAAUCUAGCGUUAAUUGGCUGGUCAAGAUGCAUAGGCAUGGCUAUAAUUGGAACACCAAACUUGAUGCUCUCCAACACUGAGCUCCAUCCACAGUGACUCACAAACCCACCAAC
rnacentral:lncRNA from 1 species